UGGGGAAUAUUGCACAAUGGGCGCAAGCCUGAUCCAGCCAUGCCGCGUGUGUGAAGAAGGCCUUCGGGUUGUAAAGCACUUUCAGCGGGGAGGAAGGCGAUAAGGUUAAUAACCUUGUCGAUUGACGUUACCCGCAGAAGAAGCACCGGCUAACUCCGUGCCAGUAGCCGCGGUAAUACGGAGGGUGCAAGCGUUAAUCGGAAUUACUGGGCGUAAAGCGCACGCAGGCGGUCUGUCAAGUCGGAUGUGAAAUCCCCGGGCUCAACCUGGGAACUGCAUUCGAAACUGGCAGGCUAGAGUCUUGUAGAGGGGGGUAGAAUUCCAGGUGUAGCGGUGAAAUGCGUAGAGAUCUGGAGGAAUACCGGUGGCGAAGGCGGCCCCCUGGACAAAGACUGACGCUCAGGUGCGAAAGCGUGGGGAGCAAACAGG
rnacentral:rRNA from 1 species